rnacentral:rRNA from 1 species
AGAAUCAACGCUGGCGGCGUGCCUAACACAUGCAAGUCGCACGAGAAAGGGACUUCGGUCCUGAGUAAAGUGGCGCACGGGUGAGUAACACGUGAAUAAUCUACCUCCGAGUGGGGAAUAACUGAGAGAAAUCUUAGCUAAUACCGCAUAACACUUACGAGUCAAAGCAGCAAUGCGCUUGGAGAGGAGUUCGCGGCAGAUUAGUUAGUUGGCGGGGUAAUGGCCCACCAAGACGAUGAUCUGUAUCCGGCCUGAGAGGGCGCACGGACACACUGGAACUGAAACACGGUCCAGACUCCUACGGAGGCAGCAGUGGGGAAUUUUGCGCAAUGGGGGAAACCCUGACGCAGCAACGCCGCGUGGAGGAUGAAAUCCCUUGGGAUGUAAACUCCUUUCGAUCGGGAAGAUAAUGACGGUACCGAGAGAAGAAGCCCCGGCUAACUUCGUGCCAGCAGCCGC